rnacentral:rRNA from 1 species
CAGUAGCCACGGGAAUACGGGGGGGGCAAGUGUUAUUCGGAAUGACUGGGCGUAAAGGGCACGUAGGCGGUGAAAAGGGUGGAAAGUGAAAGUCGCCAAAACACUGGCGGGGUGCUUUCUUGACCAUUUCACUUGAGUGAGAUAGGGGAGAGUGGAAUUUCGUGUGGAGGGAUCAAAUCCUAAGAUAUACGAAGGAACGCCAACCGCGAAGGCAGCUCUCUGGGUCCCCACUGACGCUGGGGUGCGAAAGCAUGGGGAGCAAACAGGAUCAGAUACCCCGGUAGUCCCUGUCUCUUAUACA